rnacentral:rRNA from 1 species
AAAUUGAAGAGUUUGAUCAUGGCUCAGAUUGAACGCUGGCGGCAGGCCUAACACAUGCAAGUCGAGCGGUAGCACAGAGAGCUUGCUCUCGGGUGACGAGCGGCGGACGGGUGAGUAAUGUCUGGGAAACUGCCUGAUGGAGGGGAUAACUACUGGAAACGGUAGCUAAUACCGCAUAACGUCGCAAGACCAAAGUGGGGACCUUCGGGCCUCAUGCCAUCAGAUGUGCCCAGAUGGGAUUAGCUAGUAGGUGGGGUAACGGCUCACCUAGGCGACGAUCCCUAGCUGGUCUGAGAGGAUGACCAGCCACACUGGAACUGAGACACGGUCCAGACUCCUACGGGAGGCAGCAGUGGGGAAUAUUGCACAAUGGGCGCAAGCCUGAUGCAGCCAUGCCGCGUGUGUGAAGAAGGCCUUCGGGUUGUAAAGCACUUUCAGCGGGGAGGAAGGCGAUAAGGUUAAUAACCUUGUCGAUUGACGUUACCCGCAGAAGAAGCACCGGCUAACUCCGUGCCAGCAGCCGCGGUAAUACGGAGGGUGCAAGCGUUAAUCGGAAUUACUGGGCGUAAAGCGCACGCAGGCGGUCUGUCAAGUCGGAUGUGAAAUCCCCGGGCUCAACCUGGGAACUGCAUUCGAAACUGGCAGGCUAGAGUCUUGUAGAGGGGGUAGAAUUCCAGGUGUAGCGGUGAAAUGCGUAGAGAUCUGGAGGAAUACCGGUGGCGAAGGCGGCCCCUGGACAAAGACUGACGCUCAGGUGCGAAAGCGUGGGGAGCAAACAGGAUUAGAUACCCUGGUAGUCCACGCCGUAAACGAUGUCGAUUUGGAGGUUGUGCCCUUGAGGCGUGGCUUCCGGAGCUAACGCGUUAAAUCGACCGCCUGGGGAGUACGGCCGCAAGGUUAAAACUCAAAUGAAUUGACGGGGCCCGCACAAGCGGUGGAGCAUGUGGUUUAAUUCGAUGCAACGCGAAGAACCUUACCUGGUCUUGACAUCCACAGAACUUUCCAGAGAUGGAUUGGUGCCUUCGGGAACUGUGAGACAGGUGCUGCAUGGCUGUCGUCAGCUCGUGUUGUGAAAUGUUGGGUUAAGUCCCGCAACGAGCGCAACCCUUAUCCUUUGUUGCCAGCGGUCCGGCCGGGAACUCAAAGGAGACUGCCAGUGAUAAACUGGAGGAAGGUGGGGAUGACGUCAAGUCAUCAUGGCCCUUACGACCAGGGCUACACACGUGCUACAAUGGCAUAUACAAAGAGAAGCGACCUCGCGAGAGCAAGCGGACCUCAUAAAGUAUGUCGUAGUCCGGAUUGAGUCUGCAACUCGACUCCAUGAAGUCGGAAUCGCUAGUAAUCGUAGAUCAGAAUGCUACGGUGAAUACGUUCCCGGGCCUUGUACACACCGCCCGUCACACCAUGGGAGUGGGUUGCAAAAGAAGUAGGUAGCUUAACCUUCGGGAGGGCGCUUACCACUUUGUGAUUCAUGACUGGGGUGAAGUCGUAACAAGGUAACCGUAGGGGAACCUGCGGUUGGAUCACCUCCUUA